ensembl:rRNA 5S_rRNA 5S ribosomal RNA
GUCUACAGCCAUACCACCCUGAACGCGCCCGAUCUCGUCUGAUCUCGGAAGCUAAGCAGGGUCGGGCCUGGUUAGUACCUGGAUGGGAGACCGCCUGGGAAUACCAGGUGCUGUAGGCU